GACGUACGCUGGCGGCGUGCUUAACACAUGCAAGUCGAACGGAAAGGCCCUGCUUUUGUUGGGUGCUCGAGUGGCGAACGGGUGAGUAACACGUGAGUAACCUGCCCUUGACUUUGGGAUAACUUCAGGAAACUGGUGCUAAUACCGGAUAGGAGCUCCUGCUGCAUGGUGGGGGUUGGAAAGUUUCGGCGGUUGGGGAUGGACUCUCGGCUUAUCAGCUUGUUGGUGGGGUAGUGGCUUACCAAGGCUUUGACGGGUAGCCGGCCUGAGAGGGUGACCGGCCACAUUGGGACUGAGAUACGGCCCAGACUCCUACGGUAGGCAGCAGUGGGGAAUAUUGCACAAUGGGCGGAAGCCUGAUGCAGCAACGCCGCGUGCGGGAUGACGGCCUUCGGGUUGUAAACCGCUUCCGCCUGUGACGAAGCGUGAGUGACGGUAAUGGGUAAAGAAGCACCGGCUAACUACGUG
rnacentral:rRNA from 1 species